GAAUUGGUGGUUCAGUGGUAGAAUUCUCACCUUCCAUGCAGGAGACCUGGAUGCGAUUCCCGGCCAAUGCA
rnacentral:tRNA from 1 species